CACGGCUUGGGCGGCAACACACUCCGAACCUGGUCAGGUCUUGACGGAAGCAGCCAUAAGGGGCAGCUGUUGAGCGCCCGAGCCAUCUGA
rnacentral:SRP_RNA from 1 species